GACGAACGCUGGCGGCAGGCCUAACACAUGCAAGUCGAACGAGUGGCGGACGGGUGAGUAAUGUCUGGGAAACUGCCUGAUGGAGGGGGAUAACUACUGGAAACGGUAGCUAAUACCGCAUACCAUCGGAUGUGCCCAGAGGGGAUUGGCUAGUAGGUGGGGUAACGGCUCACCUAGGCGACGAUCCCUAGCUGGUCUGAGAGGAUGACCAGCCACAAGAGAACUGAGGGACGGUCCAGAAGCCUACGGGAGGCAGCAGUGGGGAAUAUGGCACAGUGAGCGCAAGCGUGAUGCGGCCAUGCCGGGAGUAUAAAGAAGGCCUUCGGGUUGUAAACCGCUUUCAGCGAUGACGCGGUAGUGGCAGAAGAAGCACCGGCUAACUACGUGCCAGCAGCCGCGGUAAUAC
rnacentral:rRNA from 1 species